GGGGGAGUAGCUCAACUGGUAGAGCGGCGGUCUCCAAAACCGACGACUGUGGGUUCGAGUCCUGCCUCCCCCGCCA
rnacentral:tRNA from 1 species